GUGGGAGGAGUUUUAGCUACAGCAACACCGGAUGGUUGCUGGAGCUACUGGACAACACUGGGCCACCUUCAUAAUCACAGGCGGCGGAUCAGAAUCGACGCACAUGGAACGGAAAAUCGUGUCAUCAACAAAUCUGUAAAGAUAUAACAAGAAAUAAUAAACGAACACGAUGUGUGAUGUGUUUGCCAAAAAUGUAGGUCGCAUAUCCAUCCGCCCGUGACGGAUGGAGAGCCCCCCCACCGACCGAAGUGGGAGGAGGAGGACAACCCAUUUGGCUUCGUCCACAUUUCAUGAAAUGUUCCCCUUUCUCACCACAGAAACCUCCUCAACCCAACAGCGUGAACGAGAGAGCGGAGAGAGACUUUCUUCUUCUUCCUGGGCACUCGACCAACAUCGUCCUUGCUGCAGGUGGAUGUGUGUGUGUGUAGAGAGAGAGAAACACACACACUCUACUACUACGACUGUACUACUACCAGGUAUAGUGCCCCAGGGGAGGAAGGAAAAACAGGUCCAUGUGUGUAGAGAGAAAAGUAGGACUCGUCGGAAAAAAUAUUUAACCACCUCCAGGUGUGUUUUUUAUUUUUCUUUCCUUCAGCCCAGCGAAAAAAAAAAAAGAAGGUUCCAUCCACACACACAACAAGUUCUUUUCAUUUCUGGUUUGUGCGUGACGAAGGAACCAGUCGCAACAACAACAACAACAACCCAGAUAUGCAUAACUAGCCAAAGUUGUUGAAGAAAAAACUGGAAGGAGAGUUUUGCCUAUUGGACGGAAUCACGAGAGCGAAACGAUCGAAACAAAAUUGUUGAUUGGGAAUUGAAACAUGAAUUCCGUUAUCAUCCGUCGUCGUCGACGAGUCGACACACUGGUUUAAGGGUGGGAAGGUAAAAAGAAAAAAAAAAGUAGGAGGAGGAAGGAUUUGGCAAUUGAGGUCAACCCGACAACCGGGAAGUGGGUCACCAGAACCAGAGAGAGGCGCUGCUGCUCUCUCGUUUUUGCCUUUCGGGCGACGCGCGUCACGAAACGGACUCACUCCCCUCCCCCCUUGUGUAGAUGUUUAAGGAAUGAGGGGGGAAAAAAAAUAAAGAAAAGGAAAGAAAAAUUCAUCACAGAUCCGUAUCGGACGUUGUCGAGUCGCCAUAUUUAUUACCAACCAAGAUCUACGACGUCCUUGCCAACGACUGAAAUGUUGUUGUCUGACCACAUAGACUUCCUUCUCUCCCAUAGCCUAGUUUUGUUUGGUUAGUAGAAAAUUUUCAAAUUUCGCGGGGGAAAAUUAAGAAAAAAAAAUAAUCUUUUCAAUUUCUUCCGGUCGGAUUGGCCAAACGCAAGUGGAACGCACGCAGAUAAAAAACGGACGUUGUUGGACGUCCAUCACGUUUUUGCCUCGUUGUAUUGGCCUCAUUUGGACAAUUUUUCUUUUUGAAAAAAGUUGUCGAAUCAUGUUCGUUUUUUCUCUUCUUGUAGUCACGUGAUUUUUUUUUUGUUAGACACACACACGCAGCACAGCGAUGCACAUCGUCAUCGUCUCCAGGUUUAAUUGUCCGAACACAGACACACACACACAGGAGAGAGAGAGAAUUCCGCCCGGAGCUCUUUUUUGUUCGACUGCGCAUCGAACGCACGAAAAACGGGAGAGAAGAAUUGUCUAUUCGCUCACGCACAACCCACCCACCCACCACCCACAGCAGCAGCUUUUUUUUUUUCGCCUGGUGGUGAAAAUGUAGGCCAAAGCGUUGUGCAGUUCGUUGCACUUUUGCUUUCCUCUUCUUUUUCCGUCUCUCCUUUUAGUAUGUACGCCCUGGUUUUUUUUUUCUUCUUGUAAAAAAAAUAUUUUUUUAUUAUUAUUGUUAUUAUCUUUUCGGCGUCGUUCAAAAAAUUUCGCCUUGCGGUUUUUUUUUUCUUCCCGUAAAAAUUUUCUCUUUUUUUUUCUUCUUCUUUCCAGCGAAAUUAAAUUUUCUGAAUUUUUUUAAAUAUGUAUUAUUUUUUUGUGUAGCGUAAUACUGUCCAUUUUUUUUUGAAGGGGGAAGUGUUGAAAUGUAGGUCACUAAAUGAGAAUGUCGACAGCAUCGAAAACUACAACUUCCGUCGUGUCCGGAAUUGCAUAAGACGUCGAUAGCUGCUGCUGCAAUGUCCUCCAAUUUGAACUAACGAUGAAUUAAAAGAAAGAUUCUUCUGGACCGGAAAGCUUGGAAAUUUACACUCUUCGAGGUGUGUGUCUGUGUAUUCAAGAGGAGAGAUUGCACCACACACUGGCAAGAAGAAGAAGAAGACCAAGAAGUAGGUCAACUUCCUAUAAGCCCCCAGUCCAGCGUUGCGCAACACACGCGCUGUGUCUGCGUGUGUGUAAAGCUCUAGGCAGUGUGUGUGUGUGUGUGUGUGAGCUGUCCUAUUCUUCUUGGUAUGUGUGUCCACAUCCGGCCGGAUCGCGUCUUUUCCACUACAAUUGCCUGUCGUCUUAGAUGGCGCUGUUAUAAAAAUCCCCCCGGAAAAAUCAAACGCGACAAGAAGAAGCAGAAAUAGAAAAAGAAGAAAAAGAACGCGGUGUAGGACCCCCCUGAAAAA